rnacentral:rRNA from 1 species
AACGAACGCUGGCGGCAGGCUUAACACAUGCAAGUCGAGCGCGUAGCAAUACGUGCGGCAGACGGGUGAGUAACACGUGGGAAUCUACCCAUCCCUGCGGAACAACUCCGGGAAACUGGAGAUAAUACCGCAUACGCCCUACGGGGGAAAGAUUUAUCGGGGAUGGAUGAGCCCGCGUUGGAUUAGCUAGUUGGUGGGGUAAAGGCCUACCAAGGCGACGAUCCAUAGCUGGUCUGAGAGGAUGAUCAGCCACAUUGGGACUGAGACACGGCCCAAACUCCUACGGGAGGCAGCAGUGGGGAAUAUUGGACAAUGGGCGCAAGCCUGAUCCAGCCAUGCCGCGUGAGUGAUGAAGGCCUUAGGGUUGUAAAGCUCUUUCACCGAUGAAGAUAAUGACGGUAGUCGGAGAAGAAGCCCCGGCUAACUUCGUGCCAGCCGCCGCCGUAAUAC